UACGGAGGGUGCGAGCGUUGUCCGGAAUCAUUGGGCGUAAAGGGCGCGUAGGUGGCCCGGUCAGUUCGUGGUGAAAGCGCGGGGCUCAACCCUGCGUCGGCCAUGAAUACUGCCGCGGCUGGAGCACUGUAGAGGCAGGCGGAAUUCCGGGUGUAGCGGUGGAAUGCGUAGAGAUCCGGAAGAACACCGGUGGCGAAGGCGGCCUGCUGGGCAGUUGCUGACACUGAGGCGCGACAGCGUGGGAGCAAACAGG
rnacentral:rRNA from 1 species